CCUACGGGGGGCAGCAGUGGGGAAUAUUGGACAAUGGGGGGAACCCUGAUCCAGCCAUGCCGCGUGUGUGAAGAAGGCCCUCGGGUUGUAAAGCACUUUCAGUGAGGAAGAACGCCUGGUGGUUAAUACCCAUCAGGAAAGACAUCACUCACAGAAGAAGCACCGGCUAACUCCGUGCCAGCAGCCGCGGUAAUACGGAGGGUGCGAGCGUUAAUCGGAAUUACUGGGCGUAAAGCGCGCGUAGGUGGCUUGAUAAGCCGGUUGUGAAAGCCCCGGGCUCAACCUGGGAACGGCAUCCGGAACUGUCAAGCUAGAGUGCAGGAGAGGAAGGUAGAAUUCCCGGUGUAGCGGUGAAAUGCGUAGAGAUCGGGAGGAAUACCUGUGGCGAAGGCGGCCUUCUGGACUGACACUGACACUGAGGUGCGAAAGCGUGGGUAGCAAACAGGAUUAGAUACCCUUGUAGUC
rnacentral:rRNA from 1 species